GGAUUUCUUACUAAUAAUUUUGCCUUUUUUUAUCUUCACUUCUUCUUUUGACUAUUGUACCCACAACGUUCUUUCUUCUUCACUGUUUUUAAUUUCUUUUGAUGUCCAUCACUAAUUUUCAAGCAUCCAAUCAAGUAUAGCAGCUUGCUUUGUAAGAUAGUCAAGGGAGUGAACUUCACUGCUUUAUUUUCAGUUCUAAUCUCUCAACACUUUUCAGCCAGUUGGUCAGGAACAUAGCAAUGGAGUACGUAGAGCCUAUUCUUGGCAUUGCAAAGUGUCUUGGACCUCCUGUUUGUAAAUACUUGAAAUAUCACAGUAAGCUGAAUGAUUAUGUGAGAAACUUCAAGAGGAUCAGAGAUGAAUUGAAUUGUAAUAUGGAAGACAUAGAUGUUAAAAUGAGGCAACAUAGCAGCAACAUGCAAGCAACCAAGCAGCACAACAUCAGCAUGCAAGUAACCGAGCAACUCAGCAGCAGCAGGCUAAUGUCCAUGGUGUAAUUCGACUGUAGAGCUUUUGCAUAGUUGACUUUUUGCUAGUUUGGUUGAAAUCAUUUUUUGUUUGAUCAGCUAAGGUUUAAUCAUGUGUUUAGCUGAUUUAGUAGUCAUUUAGGUUGUCAUUAAGUUGAUUUAACAGCUUAGAUACUUGCACAAGCUAGCUUUGUCUUUAACCAAUGUAAUUUGAACUACUUAUGUAUGUGGUUUUGUUACUUAUUCAAGUAAUGAAGUUAAUCUUCAUCA